rnacentral:lncRNA from 1 species
AUGGCCCUGCACUACCCCAUGGCUGUGGACCUCAACAUGGGCCACCAGGUGAUGAAGAACUUCAGCAAGCCUGCGCCUCGGGCACCUUACCAAGCACACCAAGUUCAUGUGGGACAUGAUCUGGGAGGUGUUCAGCUUCAUGCCCUAUGAGCAGCGCGCCAUGGUGUUGCUCAGUGUCCAAGGACAAGCGCGCACUCAAGUUCAACAAGAAGAAAGUGGGCAUGCACAUCCGUGCCAAGAGAAAGCAGGAGCAGCUGAGCAAUGUGCUAGCAGCCAUGAGGAAGGUGGCGGCCAAGAAGGAUUGA